rnacentral:rRNA from 1 species
AGGGCACCACCAGGAGUGGAGCCUGCGGCUUAAUUUGACUCAACACGGGAAAUCUCACCAGGCCCGGACACCGGUAGGAUUGACAGAUUGAGAGCUCUUUCUUGAUUCGGUGGGUGGUGGUGCAUGGCCGUUCUUAGUUGGUGAAGCGAUUUGUCUGGUUAAUUCCGAUAACGAACGAGACUCUGGCCUACUAACUAGACGUUAGAUCCCUUCGUGGGUCUAUCGCAGCUUCUUAGAGGGACGGGCGGCGUUUAGCCGCACGAGAUUGAGCAAUAACAGGUCUGUGAUGCCCUUAGAUGUUCUGGGCUGCACGCGCGCUACACUGAAGGAAUCAGCGUGUGUUCCCUACCCGAAAGGGUUGGGAAACCCGUUGAACCUCCUUCGUGAUGGGGAUUGGGGAUUGCAAUUAUUCCCCAUGAACGAGGAAUUCCCAGUAGGCGCGAGUCAUAAGCUCGCGUCGAUUACGUCCCUGCCCUUUGUACACACCGCCCGUCGCUACUACCGAUCGAGUUAUUUAGU